rfam:Paraphaeosphaeria sporulosa strain AP3s5-JAC2a unplaced genomic scaffold CC84scaffold_2, whole genome shotgun sequence.
GCGGCUGUAGUCUAGCGGUUAUGAUGUCUGCUUUACAUCCAGCGACAGCAAGUGUAAAGCGCAGAAGGUCCCCGGUUCGAUCCCGGGCAGCCGUA